rnacentral:lncRNA from 1 species
UAAGAAAUGUCUUUCGUCCUCUGCCAUGAUUAUGAGACCUCCCCCAGCCAUGUGGAACUGUCUGCAAAUGAUGAACAAGAACCCAGGCAUCAGUGCCAAUAUUAACAAAGAAAAGGCAGAACACAUUUUUUUCUUCCUGAAGGGCAUCCGCCCCUGGACAUACCUGUGGAGUUCUGGAAUGUCAGGGUUGUUUUUAAACAGUGAUGAAGUCUUAAUGCACUGUCUCUCCUCCUGGUUUCUAUCACUUGUGCUAACCGAAUGCUUCUUUGGAGAAAACAUUUUUUGUGCGUUCCCCUUAAAAGUCCUCUGAGUUUCUUUAACACUAGUUUUCUUGGCUGGGAGAAAUGAAGUUUCGUUCCUCCGUUUCGCUGGGGGAGCCUCACUGGACGCUUGGUAUUUUCUUUUCGUAGCCUUUGCUUGCUGCGUUGUUCCCAGAAGGAAAGAUCAACAAGAGAUGCAUUAGUCCAUGAAAACAGAGCUCGGAGUGAAGCCUGACUGCCCACAGAAUUGCAUCUCUCCCUGCAGAGAUCAUUAUGCCCCAUAUGUCAAGCAACAGUUUAGGGUUUGCAAUCAGACUCUUUGACUCAGCUUCUUCCAAAAGGUAAAGAAAAGAAAAAAGAAAAAAGUCUCAGCUCACUCAUCUACCAGACCUCACCAGCCAUUCUUAACUGUUAAAUCAAUCAAGAUAAGGUAAGGAUGAAGAAGCAGCAUUUUUCCAGUUGAAUGUUAACUAAUGGAGUCUGUUUUAAGGGAAGCAAGAAUCCACCUUGUGAAGGGUGUGUCAAUCCAUAUUCCUAGGAACCCAUUCACCCAAGGAGAAAAGAGGGGUGGGGGAAAACGAAUCUUUUCUCUCCACCAACAAAGCACACUGGAGACCGCACAGGAGAGAGGGGCGAGGGGGAAUGCGCAUCUCAGCCCGUGCCCAGGAAGCGGAAACAUUCAUUACCAUUCUACCCUAGCGCCUGGAUCUCUCUCAUUCUCUCCUCUCAAGCUGCUCCUCCAGAUUCAGACGGCCUGGAGAAAAUUCCUACGCCCUGUUCCCAUUCCAAAUGAGAAUGCUGCUCCAUCCAUCACCUCUACCACAAUUACUUCCUACCUCCCUUGCCUUUCGAGUCUCUGAGUCCCCGAGUCUCUGCCUGAUUGCGGAUUACAGGCUACACAGCACUAGGGAUCUCUUGCCUGUUGCUUCUUAUUUCCAUUACAGGAAUGUGCUUAAAUGCAUGAUGUCCAAACUUCCCCUAGGAGAAGGAACAUCCAAUUCCUCUA